rnacentral:misc_RNA from 1 species
GAAAUGCGAUAAGUAAUGUGAAUUGCAGAAUUCAGUGAAUCAUCGAAUCUUUGAACGCACAUUGCGCCCCCUGGUAUUCCGGGGGGCAUGCCUGUUCGAGCGUCAUUUCACCACUCAAGCCUCGCUUGGUAUUGGGCGACGCGGUCCGCCGCGCGCCUCAAAUCGACCGGCUGGGUCUUCUGUCCCCUCAGCGUUGUGGAAACUAUUCGCUAAAGGGUGCCACGGGAGGCCACGCCGAAAAACAAACCCAUUUCUAAGGUUGACCUCGGAUCAGGUAGGGAUACCCGCUGAACUUAA